rnacentral:lncRNA from 1 species
CACUCAGUGGGUUAAAGAUCCAGUGUUGCCGUGAGCUGUGGUGUAGAUUGAAGACAAGGCUCAGAUCUCACAAUGCUGUGGCUGUGGUGUAGGCUGGCAACUGUAACUCCAAUUAGAUCCCUAGCCUGGGAACCUCCAUGUGCCGCGGGUGCGGCCCUAAAAAAAAAAAAAUUUUCAAGGUUCAUCCACAUUGUUGUAUGUAUCAGGAGUUAUUCCUUUUGGUUGCUGUAUGGUAUUCCAUUGUAUAGAUAUACCACAAUUUGUUUAUCCAUUUUCCUGUUGAUGAAUAUCCAUCUAGGUUGUUUACAUUAUUUGAAUAAAUAAAGCUGCCCUGAACAUUCAUGUACAAAUAUUUGUAUAGACAUAUGCUUUCUCUCUUUUUCUCUUUCUUUCUCCUUUCCUCCUUCCCUCCCUCCCCUCCACCCCUUCUUUCUUUCUUUCUCCCUUCCUUUCUUUCUUUCUUUUUCCUCUUGGCUAUGGCAGAGACCUGUGGAGGUUCCCUGGCCAGGAAUCUAACCCACACCAUAGCAGCAACCCAAGCCACUAUAGUGACAAUGCCUGAUCCUUAACCCUCUGAGCCUUGGGGGAACUUCUAUUUUCAUUUCUUUUGGAUAAAUACACAGGAAUGAAAUGGUUAAGUUUUAUGGCAAGUACAUGCAUAACUUAAAAAAAAAAUGGGGCAGGUGUUCCUACUGUGGCACUGUGGGUUAAGAAUUUGGCAUUGCUGCAGCUGAGGCAUAGGUCACACUUGCAACUUGGAUUGGAUCCCUGGCCUGGGAGCUUCUAUAUGCCAUGGGUGCAGCCUUAGGGAAAAAAAACGGAGCAGUUAAAAAGAAAAUCUCAUUUUUAGUUGUCAGGUCCACGUCCCAUGUCAGUAAUUCCAGUUUUUGUUUCUGUGGUUUAAUUGGAAAGAACACUACUUUAAGAGUCACAAGUUUGGGGCUUGGAUGGAGCAGUGUAGUUUCCAGACCUGGAUUUGGGAAAAGGUAGUCAGUCAUUCAGCUUCUGAGCUUCAGUUCCCCAAUGUUUAAAUUGGGGUUAAUAAUUUCCAUAACAAUAAAAAAUUGGAAGUAUUCUCAGAGUCCAUCAACAGGAGAUUGGUCAAGGAAAAUACAUUCCUAAGCUAGAAUACUAUGUAGCUAUUAAAAAUGAUGUAAAAUUAUAUUUAUUGAGAGUGUCCUCAUUGGCUCAGUAGGCUAAGGAUCUCAUGUUGUCACUGCAGUGGCUUGGGUCGCUGCUGUGGCAUGGAUUUGAUUCCUAGCCUGGGGACUUCUGUAUGCCAUGGGAAUGGCAAAAAAAUAAAUAAAUAAACUUCUUGGAACUGAAAGAAAUUUAGAUUAAAGCUCAGGGUUUCUCUCUUAGCUUUGGGCUUAAAUCCUGGCUUUCUUGGACACAUUAUUUAGUUUUACUUUCCAAAAUAAAAAAAAA